rnacentral:misc_RNA from 1 species
GAUGAAGAACGUAGCGAAAUGCGAUACUUGGUGUGAAUUGCAGAAUCCCGUGAACCAUCGAGUCUUUGAACGCAAGUUGCGCCCGAAGCCAUUAGGCCGAGGGCACGCCUGCCUGGGCGUCACACGUCGUUGCCCCCCCAUCUACUCCUUCGGGAUUGCGGGGGGCGGAUGAUGGCCUCCCGUGCGCCUCGCCGCGCGGUUGGCAUAAAUGCCAAGUCCUCGGCGACGCACGCCACGACAAUCGGUGGUUGCGAAACCGCGGUUGCCCGUCGUGUGCGGUCGUCGCGCAUCGAGGGCUCGAAAAAAUUGCCGGGUUCCGGCUCGGCUUUCAACGCGACCCCAGGUCAGGCGGGGUUACCCGCUGAAUUUAAGCAUAUCAAUAAGCGGAGGA